UACGAAGGGGGCGAGCGUUGUUCGGAAUUAUUGGGCGUAAAGCGCGCGCAGGCGGUCCUUUAAGUCUGAUGUGAAAGCCCACGGCUCAACCGUGGAGGGUCAUUGGAAACUGGGGGACUUGAGUGCAGAAGAGGAGAGUGGAAUUCCACGUGUAGCGGUGAAGUGCGUAGAGAUGUGGAGGAACACCAGUGGCGAAGGCGACUCUCUGGUCUGUAACUGACGCUGAGGCGCGAAAGCGUGGGGAGCAAACAGG
rnacentral:rRNA from 1 species